rnacentral:rRNA from 1 species
UACGAAGGGGGCUAGCGUUGCUCGGAAUCACUGGGCGUAAAGGGCGCGUAGGCGGCGUUUUAAGUCGGGGGUGAAAGCCUGUGGCUCAACCACAGAAUGGCCUUCGAUACUGGGACGCUUGAGUAUGGUAGAGGUUGGUGGAACUGCGAGUGUAGAGGUGAAAUUCGUAGAUAUUCGCAAGAACACCGGCGGCGAAGGCGGCCAACUGGACCAUUACUGACGCUGAGGCGCGAAAGCGUGGGGAGCAAACAGGG